UACGUAGGGGGCGAGCGUUGUCCGGAAUCAUUGGGCGUAAAGAGCGUGUAGGCGGCUUGGCAAGUCUGACGUGAAAGCCCGCGGCUCAACCGCGGAUUGUCGUUGGAAACUGCCUCGCUAGAGUCCGGAAGAGGAGAGCGGAAUUCCUGGUGUAGCGGUGGAAUGCGCAGAUAUCAGGAAGAACACCAGUGGCGAAGGCGGCUCACUGGCCCGUUACUGACGCUGAGGCACGAAAGCGUGGGAGCAAACAGG
rnacentral:rRNA from 1 species